rnacentral:rRNA from 1 species
CACGCCCUAAACGAUGUCUACUGGUUGUUGGGAAUUUAAUAUUCUUGGUAACGAAGCUAACGCGUGAAGUAGACCGCCUGGGGAGUACGGUCGCAAGAUUAAAACUCAAAGGAAUUGACG